UGCCGGUCCCCUCGCGACGAGAAGCUGUGAACCCCGUCAGGCCCGGAAGGGAGCAGCGGCAGCAGCUGUAUCGGGCGCCGGGGUGUGGCUGGCACGG
rnacentral:SRP_RNA from 1 species